rnacentral:misc_RNA from 1 species
AGCAGCCGCGGUAAUUCCAGCUCCAAUAGCGUAUAUUAAAGUUGUUGCAGUUAAAAGCUCGUAGUUGAAUUUCGGGGUUAGUAGGUUGGUCAUGCCUCUGGUAUGUACUGGUCUCACUGAUUCCUCCUUCCUGAUGAACCUUAAUGCCAUUAAUUUGGUGUUUUGGGGAAUUUGGACUGUUACUUUGAAAAAAUUAGAGUGUUUAAAGCAGGCAUUUUGCUUGAAUACAUUAGCAUGGAAUAAUAAAAUAGGACGGCAUGAUUCUAUUUUGUUGGUUUCUAGGAUCACCGUAAUGAUUAAUAGGGAUAGUUGGGGGCAUUAGUAUUCAAUUGUCAGAGGUGAAAUUCUUGGAUUUAUUGAAGACUAACUACUGCGAAAGCAUUUGCCAAGGAUGUUUUCAUUAAUCAAGAACGAAAGUUAGGGGAUCGAAGACGAUCGGAUACCGUCGUAGUCUUAACCAUAAACUAUGCCGACUAGGAAUCAGACGAUGUUAAUUUUUUAAUGACUCGUUUGGCACCUU